AUGCCUUGGCUGCAUCUUACAGUAUCUUUCUUUCUUACCUUCUUUUUCUUCUCUCUCUCUCUUUCUCUCUAUUCUGCUCAAAUCUUGCAUGUGUUCACUUUGCCGGCCUUUCCACUCACUGCUAUUAGUUCUUUUAUAACUUUUUGUCUGUUGGGACCCCUGGCUGUUUCCAAUUAAAACUGAGGGAGAAAGUUGGAAAAGUUUAGACCCCUCUCAUAAAGGCUAUUUGAAUGAAUUGCUUUGUUUUAUGGAUAUUGAGAAAAUUACAAACCUGCCAGACCAAAAGAAUAAAAAUAGUAUUUUUCUCUUGUCAACGCAAGUGCCCUUUUGUAAUAUAAUUGGGCAAAAGUUAUUUAUAUAGAGUGCUGUAACAAUCAACCACAAAAUCUCUUUUGGUCAACAUUUUGAGUUUUCCAGCAACAUUGGGCUGUCUUUAACACUUUGGGUUUGGCAAACUUCCCCCACCCUCCAAGAUCUGCCAGGCAGGACUAAGGGUGCCUCAGCCGUCACAUUAGUUGGAACAGGCACAGCUGACACACACACAUUAUAUGCAUGGAGCUAUCAUUGUAUUGUUACCAAUAUACAGUAUAUGAUUAUAUUUAGCAUGAAAGUGUAACUUGUUCAGAUGUGUUGUUUUGGUGCCUAUAUAUUCUUUAAUUCACUAUCCACCCACCCACACCACCGUUAUCAUUUCAGGGGGAUCAAGGACAAGCGGGGCCCCCGGGCCCUCCAGGGCCUCCUGGGACUCCUGGGACUCCUGGCCCCAGGGGACCCCCGGGGAACACCGGCAGAGACGGACCGAGGGGCUUCCCCGGGGAGCCGGGACCCCCAGGACAUAAUGGCAUUGAGGGACCGAGAGGGCCCCCAGGCAUUCAGGUCAGCAUAAAAACUCAGCCACAAUUAGCCACGUGUAAUAGCGCACACACGUAGACUCAAGUGUGCAUACUCGCACACUCCCUUAAAGUGACUUGACGUACGGGUGUUCUUUCAGGGCAUCGAUGGUGAAGAUGGGGAACCAGGGCCUCACGGACCCCCAGGAAUAAAGGUGCUGUGAUCUGGUCUACUAUGAUAAAU
rnacentral:lncRNA from 1 species